rnacentral:pre_miRNA from 1 species
AAAGUACUCCCUCCAUCCAGAAAUACUUGUCAUCAAAAUGAAUAAAAGGGGAUGUAUCUAGAUGUAUUUUAGUUCUAGAUACAUCCAUUUUUGUCCAUUUUGAUGACAAGUAUUUUCGGACGGAGGGAGUAUUUA